CAAAUACGCCAACAUCAAGCGGUUGAUAAACCCGAAGUUUCAGGGGAACUUGAAAACUGGAAGACCUACGUAAUUACAACAAAUUGCAGCAACAACAAGGCAACGCCUACGACACGCCAGUGAUUACAACAAUAAUAACAGCAACAGCAAAAGCAACAUUACCUACCUAUCCAGCGUAACCUGUUGUAGCUAUUUCUAUUUCACUGUACUGCAUUGGUGCUCACCUCUCUGCAUCUAAAAUUGGGCAUUCACAAGCGGCUUAAAUACGUGGUUAACCAUCGGCUGGGAAUACACAUACAAUAUCAAGCCGGAAUCUGCAAGUGGCACACCUGUGGCCACGGGUCAGUUGAGCACCAGUUGGAGCAACAGCAUCACCAUCAACGCCACAAUCGCACACAAUGUCGAGACUCACCGAGGAAAUGGUGAUUGCGCGGUCCAAGCAAUCCGAUCUGGCCCUGAUCAAAAAGCUAAAUUGCUGGGGCAGUGAUCUCAGCGAUGUGUCCAUCAUCAAGCGAAUGCGUGGAGUGGAAGUUCUGGCUCUUAGUGUCAACAAGAUCAGCACGCUGUCGCCCUUCGAGGAAUGCAACAAACUGCAGGAACUGUAUCUGCGCAAGAACAACAUCUCCGACAUCAACGAGAUCGCCUACCUGCAAAAUCUUCCCAGUCUCAAGUAUCUCUGGCUGGAGGAAAAUCCCUGCUGCGAACGAGCUGGCCCCAACUAUCGAGCGGUCGUAUUGCGCGCCCUGCCCUACCUGAAGAAGCUCGACAAUGUUGAGGUCACGCAGGAGGAGGUGGACGAGGCGCUGCGUGGAGGCGGCGGCGCCGCACCAGAGGAUGAGGUCUACGAGGAUGCCUACCAGCAGCAGCAGCAGGCAUCGCGAACAUCGCCUCAGCAGAUACCGCAGCAGCAGCAGCAACAGCAGCAGCAACACAGCUACCCGCAACACUCGCCGCCGCAGCAGCACCAAUAUCACCACCAGCAGCAGCAUCACCAACCGCAGCAGCAGCAGCAGUCACAGCAGCAGCAGUCGCAGCAGCAGCGCCGCAGCUCCAGUCCCAUGAAAGAGCCGCCCCAGUUGCCCAGUCCGCUGGUGAACAACAGCAGCGAAGGAAGCAUCAGCCACAGUGCCAACGAUCUUUACCAGGUGCAGGCGGCUCAGCCGCUGAAGAGCUCCCAACCACCCACGCCCACCAAGGAACCCGUGCAUCCGCCAUCGCCCAUGUAUAACACCAUAACCAAAGAGCAGCGCACCUCCUACCACCAGUUCGAUCGCUCGCCGGGAUCCGACCAGGAGAGUAGUUCGCACACGUACAGGGAGGUGCGGCCCACGCCGCUCCCGCCCAGCAUUUCGGCGCACUCGAUGAAGGAAUACUAUCAGUCGGACAGACCUGCCUACCCGGCGCACUACCGCCACAGCCAGACGGACCUCACCGAGUGGGAGGAGCACCAGCAGGCGCCCCAGGUGCACCACAAUCCCUACGGCAGCCAGAUGCAGUUGCACCACCCGCAGCGGCGCUCUGCGGGACCGGAGACGACGGCCUACCGGAACGGCAGUGCUAGGGAGAACGGCGGCGAAUGGGAUCCGGAGGACAGGCCCAGGGCGAGACGUUCCGAGGGAAGAUAUAGUGACUCGACCACGACGUUGUCGGCCUCUGUGAUGAAUCACUAUGCCGGCUACCAUCGCAGACCCGUAAAUAGGAACUCGAAUAUUCUCUCCGCCACCCUCUGUUUGGUGAAGGAGUUGGACUACGCCAGUCUGGAGGUUCUGGAGCACGCUGUGCGAUGUCGCAUCGAUGAGCUGGCGGGCGAAUGAUGAAGACGACUCUCUAAUCGCAUGUCGAUUAGCUAAUCCAGCGCCUACAGGGCGUUACAAAA
rnacentral:misc_RNA from 1 species